rnacentral:sRNA from 1 species
UCAUUGUUUCCAUAGAGUGGUUUGUUGCAUGUAUAGUCAUUGACUUGUUAUUAUUUCAGUUAGAAGACUUUUAUGGUUUAUUAUGGAAUAUCUUGAGGAAGGCAAAUUUCAAGGAUGACGAUCUUGCUUGUAUUUUUGGAGCUAUAUAUGACAUCAAAUCCGUUCUAUCUCCAAUGUUAUUGUUUUUAUAUAUUUGCUACUUAAAGAUCUUAACAUAUGAAAAAUUCUAACUAAACAAUGAUACACAGCUAUACUCGCCCUAAUUUGUAUCAAUGCAUUUCGUAUUGAUUUGGUUGGACACUCAUGCGGCGAAGACCUUCUUUCAUUGGAUGAAGUCUCUAUUGAAGGUGAAGGUGUAGUUGGCCAUACCUUUUCUAUGCUACAUCCUUCUACAAUCAUAAAUGUGGUAUUCAUUUUUCUGAUCUUUUAAUUUUUUGGGAAAAAUGUCCAAAAAAUCACGAACUUUUAUAAAUGACAAAGUUUAUGUUGACUUUUCAUUUGAGUCAUGUCGUUAAGUAGGUUAAUAUAAUUAUUUCCCGGCGUUAAGUUCUCGUUUAUCUCCUCUAUUAGAACAAAACAACAUUGUUUAUUGCAUCUCGUUUUGUCUGUUGAAACAAAUUUAAACCCUAAAUCCCCAAAUCGAUUUCAUUAUCUGCGAUUUUGAGGUCAGGUGGGUUUGUGAUUUUGAGAUAAUGAAAUCGAUAUAGGGAUUUAAGGUUUAUAUUUGUUUCAAGAGACAAAACGACGUCGUUUUGUGUCUUCAAUAAACGACAUUGUUUGUUCUAACAGAUCAAAUAAACAAGUCAUUAAAGCCGUAAAAAAAAUUAUAUUAACCUAUUUAACGAUAGGACUCAAAUGGCAAGUCAACAAAAACUUUGUCAUUUAUUUCGAAAGUCAACAAAAACUUUAUGAUUUGUUUGUCUUCCGUGAAGUUCAAGAUUAAAUCGUCCCAAAUUUUAAAGUUCGUGAUUUUUUUGACAUUUUUCUCUUUAAUUUUUAUACCAGUUUUUUUUUGUGAAGAAAUGCUUGAAUGUACCAACAUCAUAAGUCAAAGAGUCUUAUAAUGUUUUUAAUCUGUUAGACAAU